rnacentral:rRNA from 1 species
GACGAACCAUGCAAACGUUGUUCGGAAUCACUGGGCUUAAAGGGCGCGUAGGCGGGCCAGCCAGUCUGUGGUGAAAGCCUCCAGCUUAACUGGAGAAGUGCCGUGGAUACUGCUGGCCUCGAGGAGGGUAGGGGCAUCUGGAACGGUCGGUGGAGCGGUGAAAUGCGUUGACAUCGACCGGAACUCCGGUGGCGAAGGCGAGGUGCUGGGCCCUUUCUGACGCUGAUGCGCGAAAGCCAGGGGAGCAAACGGG